GCGCAGGCGCCCAGAGGCGCACAGGAGACCUCAGGCCCAGACUCCACUCCCCAGCUGUGAAAGGACUGCUGGCCAGACCCCCAAGCUAGCCCGCCAGGCCUCCAUAGAGCUGCCCAGCAUGGCUGCAUCCAGUACCAAGAGUUGGUGGGAGACGGGUGAGGUACAGGCUCAGUCUGCGGCCAAGACUCCGUCCUGCAAGACUCUUUGGCAGUUGCACUGGGUACUGGCUGAGUUCUGGAAAACAGGAAUGUGAGCAGAGUGCUGCAGAUCUCCUUGUCAGGAGCACCUAAGAACUGGCAUGACUCUACACCCUCUCUCCUUCUGCAAUGACCUCGUGUCAAGAUGGCAGACCCGCAGAGAUGAAUGUGCCUGGAUACCUGAGUCACCAGGUGGAGGAAACUCCCAUUGACAUGCAUCACACUCCACAUAUGAAACCCUUCUUUUUCUGCACUGUCACUGGGGUUAGGGAUUAUUACUCACUGCAACUUAGCCUAGCAUUAAGUUGCUUGACUAAUACAAGUUUCAAUAAAUGUCGCUUCAUUUCCCAUG
rnacentral:lncRNA from 1 species